rnacentral:rRNA from 1 species
GAUGAACGCUAGCUACAGGCUUAACACAUGCAAGUCGAGGGCCCGUCGCACGGGUGAGUAACACGUAUCUAACCUGCCCUUUACUCGGGGAUAGCCUUUCGUAAGAUAGAUUAUUACCCGAUAUAAAGGAUGGGGAUUCGUUCAAUUAGGUUGUUGGUGAGGUAACGGCCCACCAAGCCUUCGAUGGAUAGGGAUUCUGAGAGGAAGGGCACCCACAUUGGAACUGAGAAACGGUCCAAACGCCUACGGGAGGCAGCAGUGAGGAAUAUUGGUCAAUGGGCGUUAGCCUGAACCAGCCAAGUAGCGUGAAGGAUGAAGGAUUAUGGGUCGUAAACUUCUUUUAUAAAAGAAUAUGUAUUAUAUGAAUAAGGAGCGGCUAACUCCGUGCCAGCAGCCGCGGUAAUAC